AGUGAACGCUGGCGGCGUGCCUAAUACAUGCAAGUCGAACGGAGUGGCGCACGGGUGAGUAAUAUAUAGCUAAUCUGCCCCUUGCUGGAGGACAACAGUUAGAAAUGACUGCUAAUACUCCAUAGCAAGGGAUGAGACUAUAUCGUAUCAGCUAGUCGGUGGGGUAACGGCCUACCGAGGCUAUGACGCGUAACUGGUCUGAGAGGAUGAUCAGUCACAUGGGAACGGAGACACAGUCCAAACUCCUACGGGAGGCAGCAGUAAGGAAUAUUGCGCAAAGGGGGAAACCCUGACGCAGCAACGCCGCGUGGAGAAUGACACUUUUCGGAGCGUAAACGCCUUUUGUUAGGGAAGCGGUAUCUAACCAGAUAGCCACGGCUAAGUAGGUGCGAGCCGCCGCGAUAAUAC
rnacentral:rRNA from 1 species